ACUUAAAUAUUUUAUUUAAAAUUAUAGUUUGUGGAACUAUAGAUGUUGUUUAACUUUAAGUC
rnacentral:tRNA from 1 species